CCGACUGGACCCAGCCAGGAGAGAAAAAGGCCAGAGAGAGGAGAGGAAGGUCCCAAAAAAAUCUUGGCCUCGCUCGUGUUUGAAACUCCUUUAUUUCAAACUCCUUUAUUUCUCCCAAUGCAAAGGCAGGUGCUUUGAAGAUAUUGUUGCAUUUUUGGGCCAUAAAUCAACUUACUGGGUGAACUGUGGUGCGCCUUGAAAAAGUGAACACAGCUCUGGCUCCUCUGCAUUAUUUGUCCCAGCUUCUGAAAAGCAGGUGUUAUGGAUCUACAGUAUUUCCUGUGCUGGAGAGUUGCCCCAUUGUUUUUCUUGAUGCCAUGUGGGCUCCAGAGUAUGUCGGUGCACAUCCUCAGUGAACAGCCAGUGCAUGUAAUCCCCGGCUCCAGACUGGUUCUGAAAGCCCGGAUUGAGCUGGGACCCCUGGAAGAGGUCUCCAUGGUAACCUGGGAAAGGGAGCCCGAAACUGGAAUUGCUCCUGUGAGGGUGACGCUGGCCACGUGUGCUGGCAGGAGCCUCAAGUGUGCUGGUACGAGGCCAACUGUCGAUGUGAACACGGAGCAGCAGGAGACGACACUUCAGAUUAAUAGAUACAGCCGAGAGGACGGCGGCGUGUACGCUGUGACUGUGACGGAUCACACAGGAACCAACACCACUGCACACUGCAUCGUCAGGGAAUAUGAGGCAGUUCACCAUGUCUCUGUCAGCAUCAACGUUUCUCACUCCUCGCUGGUCUGUGGCGAGGCCUGGGGUACAGACCCCAGCUUCAGCUGGCUCUACGAGAGAGCCGCCAUCACCACGACUGUGGGAAAAAUCUCAAACGAUGGAACAACAUUGGUUGUGACCAUGACUCCUAUUUGUGGCCACUUCACCUGCAUGGUUAGCAACAAGCUGGGCUACAACACUGCCACAUACACUGCAGCACCUUGUGAGGGCAGAGGGACGACGGCAGCUGUAGUGUGUCUUGUCCUCCUGCUGCUGGUUGCAGGAGUGUUGGCGUUUCUGCUGUGGAGGAAACACAGGCACAAUAACAGAGGAGAGAGGCUGCACGAACACUUGGAUGACACCAUUUAAAAAAAGGCCUCACUUACACUUUUGUUACUCAGAGAGGAGAACAAGAACUGGACUGGACUGUGACUGAGGACCUUCCUGUCCUGUUGGCGUCUGAUAAUUCCCUGUGCUACCAGGUCGUUUGUCAUCCGUUGGACAGGAGAUAGUGGUGUGCGGCCUGAGAGUCAAGUUGUUUUCCCUGUAUGUCAUCCACCCUCCUGACAGAAGCAGCGGUGGAGGUUGGAGGUCAAAUGAAAACGUCAUAGUCAAGAUACAGCACUGAAAACAGAUGGCAACAUCAUUUUAUGGAAAAAAAUAGAGAGGAAAAAAAACCUCUGGAAAAAUACUUCAGGAAUAAUGAUAUCACACCUAAUCUAUUCAAGUCCCUAUCCACAUGUCCACAGAUCCGUCUGCCUUUCCCUGACCUUUACAUUUCCUAGUUCAGCCUUCACGUGUCUCACUCCUGGCAAAACACACCCACACACACCCUUUCCUAUUGGACAUACUCUGCAUGAACCCAGACCACAGCUCUCAACCCCAACCUCAGUUCACCAGACUGUUUCCUUGGUGAACUGUUCCCACUCCUGGUCAGAGGUGGAACUGCAGGAUGUGUUUUAUUCAGGCCAGCUAUGGAUGUAAAAGAAAGAAUUUACACUGAACAGUCAAGAUAUGGGAUCACAGAACCUUAUAUUAUUGUUGAACUUAGGCAGACCAGCAAUAUGAACAUUAGAGCUAGAAUAAAGUGCAAAACAACUUUAGAAUGCCACAAGUGUGUCCAGCUGUUAUAUCUGAUAAAGCUGGCUACUUUGAUGAGUCAAAAGUUUAGAAUACAUUUUGGUUUCUAAAUUGAUUUUUUUUCCAACUUUGUUUAUUUGUUAUAUGCUUUCAUUUCAGAAUACAGUGAGACAUUAACAUGCAUAAUUUCCAAUAAAAAACUGGAAAAAUCCGUUUGUUCUAAAACUUUUGACCGGUAGUGUAUAUGUACAGGAAUAUAAAAAGGUUCCAAGCUUUCAAGCACUUCUGAUUAAAUGUAUUUUCUCUUUUAAAGGAGAUUAUAAUCUCUAAGGCUUCCUUGUGUAAUCAACACUUUAUAUUUACUGGAUCCCCCAAAAGUCCUCUCAGUUUUGUUUGUGUAUCCACCAGUGCAUCUUAAAGUUAAAUUUAUUAUAUACCAUAGCUGCAGUUUAGCUAUGGCUCAUUUUGGCAGAGCAGCCAGGUUCCCUCUGGAGGAGUGCAUUUUAAAUCCUCAGUUUGGUCAUGUUUACCUUGGCUCAUUUUAAACUACAACUAAAACCAUUCAUAUUCAUAGUGACAAAGCAUUAAAGCACAUAUUUCUUUUCUUUCUUGCACAAAACAUCACAUAACAGAUUUUUUUUAAUAGAAUGCAUCAUUUUUCUGUGUCUCUCUUUGAUAGCAACCAGGUCAAGGUGAUGCAGAUGCACCUAAUCAUCAUUAGCUAAUCAAGGAAAACAACGAGCAGAAGAGAAAGUAAAUGCCAAUACAGCAUUUUUAGCACAAAUUUUGCAAAGUUUUUAGUCAAAGCAAGCUCUAAUGGCAAGAAAGAUAAAACAAUAUAUGAAAGGACCUUUUCAGCUGAAUGAGAGUCACCUGUGUACUUCAGGAGGUUCUUACCAGACAGACUGUUUGGCACAUUCAGUUUCCUUGUAAAUUAAUUCUUAAAAAUGGUGAUUAAAUCCUGUAUUAAAACUGACAAACACUUUCAGUUGGUAUUUCUUUUAAUUAAAACCAGUUCUGUAGCUGCCGCAGUAAUUAUGAUAAAGUGUUGACUGCCCGAGUUGCUGGUGCAUCAACAGCAGAAGAUCAUGUAAUGUGGCAAAUUCAAAAACAAACAUGACUGAUCAUCACAAACACUGACUGAGAUAUGCUUAAAAGGGAAAUAUCAACAGCUAAACAAAACACAGCUUCAAUAAUGGCUGCACUGACACACCGAAAACAACAGUUACUGACCCGAAUCUUUGGCCUUUUUGUAACUGUGAGAAUUCUGAAUUGAUCUAUGAGAGUAAACUUGUCAGAUAUUUUUUCUAAUAGGAAAUGUUUACUUGCAUUUCAGUGGAUAUAGAAAAUCUGAUUGUUCAAUGUGUGAUUUUUAUAGUAAUGAUGGGGGGAAGAAUGGCCACAUCUAACAUGAAAAAAGUCAAACUCUCACUAAAGUGGUCCAGAAAUUCAUCUUGAUGUUUUGUCAUGCCUUCACUUAAUCCAUCUUCCUGUAUCUUCCCACAUCUGCUUGACUUGGCAAUCUACAAUUAUCCACAAGUCUCAGCAAUGAAGGUAAUCAGUGUGAGUGAUCAUCAUUUCCUUCAAUCCAUAUUCAAGAAAACUCGUCAAACUAGCAAAGGACCAUUCCCAUGCACUCUAUUCACAAUUUGAACAACUCUCACUCUGCCAACGUUCCUGCACUCCAAGGUUUAGUAGCUACAGCAACUCUGCUGUUACUUCAAAUAUCAAACUAUUGAAUUCCAAUGAGUUCUGAUCUGAUCCAGUAGCUCCCAAUGCUACCUGACAAGCUCCAAAUGGCACAUGACAAAUUGAGACACUGCCUGCUGAAAAAGUGUGGCACAUUUAGCCACUAAAGAAGUCAAUACUCUGCUAACUAAGUCGGUACUUUUGUUUCCCCUCCACAAAUGAACUCAUUCUAGUUUUAACCAUGAUUCUGAUUCAAUUGAUGAAUGUCUUGUGUGCCACUUCACAGCUCUCCUUUGUUUGCUGGACAUAUGUUAAGCUAACGUGGCUCUGUGGAAAUAUUGGUUUGCCGUUCCUGACAUAGAGAGAUAUCUGCAGAUGACAAAUUACCUUGGAAGAUGAAAUCCAUUGGUAGAUAAAAACAGAACGUGGCAUUUGUACUUCUCCCCGAAGAUUUGCAAACUAUAAAACAUCCCAAAAAAUUCAGAGGAGCAUCUCCAAAGUCACAGCUCCAAAGAUGCUACAAUGCUACCGCCACUCUUUGCAAAUGUUGUGAAGAGACAACUAUUUUCCAACAUGUUAUCCAUUUUAACUGUUUAGAUAAUGUUAGUGGUGGCCAAAAAAUAAACUGAUGUGUUUAAAGUGAUGUGGCAGGUUUUAUGUGUUCAGGUGAAGGUUACACAAACUCUAUACCUUCUUGUCAAAUGCCUGACAUUGUCUAUCAUGAGUGGAACUUUGUGUAACUUUUUAGAAUUGCUUGUAAUUUAGUUUUGAUUUAGCCUUUAACAGUGAAUUUGCACCGCUGCGCCAUCAUCAAGAUAGAUGACUGUGUUACUCCCAGGCAGAGAGAAACGGUGGCAGCUGCAUUUAGGCCCACAGAAGGACGUCUGUUUGACUAAACAGUGGCUCUCCCUUAUUUAAAUGAUGUACGGAAAUUAACACCAUCAUUUUGCCGAUUGGAUGUAGCUGAGUGCACAGGGACUGACAGUUAGGAUGUGAACAUAAUCAGUGUUUAGUCCCACCCUGCAGAGCAUCUGGUUCCUCACAGAGCAUCCAUCUCACCAUGUUUUUAAUGAUGCUGCCGCUCAGCGCUGAUCGUUUGCUGUUUUGCUGUUUUUGUUCUCUCAUUAGCUGUGCUGUAGCUUAAUGCGUCCCCAGUUUCGUGCAUAAUUUUGAUGUUUUGAAUGUCAGGAAACAAACCGUUUUAUAAAAAUACAUUUCAGCCUGUUCAGUUAACCAGUAAACAAGUACUGACAAAGAAGAAUAAGUGGUAAAGAUAGCACACAUUGUAUUUGUUGUUGGAAAUUUGUAUUUUAAUCAAUGAAUAUAUGUCAAAACACUCCAUAUGGAGGCCAACUGUUAUAAACAAAAUAAUAAUAAUAAUAAUUAAAAAUGGGUUGAAAAAUCCCUUUUUAAACACUUAAAUGUUUUAAUCAUUUUGAUUAUAUAUUUUUGGAAAUUAGUGUGGAACACACAAGUGCGACUGCUAUCAAAAUAAAAUUAGAAAAUUUUAAUGUCUUGAUUUUCCUUUUUUUAAUGCCUUUUUUUUGCCAGAACUGUCAAACUACUUCCUCUUUUUUAAAAACUAAAUAAUAAUAAUAAUAAUAAUAAUAAUAAUAAUAAUAAUAAUGUAUUGUGUUUUUAUUUAACAAUUAUUGUUUUCCUGUGUUAAUAUACCAUGUUGUGCUAUACUAUGCUUUUUCCAUUAUUUUGAAAAUCUAAGAUAUAUUUUCCUGAUUAAUUGAUACAUUUUGUCUUGGCUUAUCUACAGAAUCACAGAAAAAACGAGGUACAUUUUGCAGCAUAGUAUCCCAGAGCCCAAACUGAUCUCCCAGUCUGUUGUGCCCAAAAUAAUACAGCCCAAAACCAAAAGUCUUCAGUCUACACCAGCACAAAUUCUCACCAAUGAAUGCAAUGUUAAAAAUAGAAAUGAUUAAAACAAUGAAUCGAUGAUGAAAAUAGUUGCUUUUAUUUUUUCUGUGAUUUAACUAAUUAACUGACUCGCUCAUAAUUCCAACUUUAGCUGAUAAGGAACAAAGUGCAAAACAUUGGAAAUCUGAAUCCUGAGUGGAGAACAAAUAUUUCACAAAAAUAUUUACUUUGAAUUAGGAAAAUCUCAGCUAAUGCAACAAAAGCUGCUUCGUGCAGUUGUUGAAGGGUCCGUGUACGGAUCUGGUAAUUGGAUUUUCCGUUCUGAAAGGGGUAUUGAAUAAGAAAAAACGAGUGGUUAAAAUACAAAAAUUAAAAUUGAAAUACAAGGCGUUUUUCCUUUUCAUGAUCAAAACGGGAUAUACGAUUUUUUUUUAAAUGCUUUGAUUUUCGUUUUAUAUUUAGAAUAACAAGAAAGUAAAAUCAGUAAGAGACAGAAACGAAAAAAAGGUCCGUUUUUUCAUUUUCUGAGACCGGAAGUGGUCAUCAGCAAGUGUGGAGCCAAACAGAGUACGGUGCAUAGACUGUACAUACAUUUUUUUUUUCGUGAGUUUUCAUGGUCAAAAUGAGAGAUCAGGUGGCCGAUCCUAAAAUAAAUCAAUAUUGAUUUUUUUUUUAUAGAGCGUUAAAGUUUUGCGAAGCCAGGGGGCGGGACUACUUGAUUGACGGUCUGGUCUGGAAUGAUUGACAGGUCCUAUGGAGGGGGCAGCAGAGACUCUCUUCUCCUCGUUUGGAUUAAUUCUGUUAUAAUAACUGUUGGUUCAUUUAUCGGUGGAGCAGCAGAACAUUUUCCACAGACAGUUUUCCUGCCCGUUGGCUUGUUUUAACCAGUUUUCUACCUUCGGCUGAUUCUACCAGCAGACACUGAAAGGACUCUGAUAGUUCGGUAAGUAAAUGUUUAUUUUCGUAUCGGUGCCGCUUUUAAUGCACUUUAUAUGCAGCUUUAGUGUCAGAUGUAAUGUGUGCCAUGCACUCCAGAUGUUGGUGGAGUUUGUUUCAGUGUGUGUUGACCAGAGAAGAAAGUUAGCAUAGUAAAUAUUAGCUUUAAUGUUAGCGAUGCUAACCGAGCUAGCUGCUCAGUGUAGCCAUAUUAAAGCUAACGUAGCAUCAAGCUAAUAUGUUGAGUUUCAUGUAAACAGCUGAAGUGUGUUGUGUUCCUGUAAUGUGGUUCAUUAAGUUCAUAAAACUGUGGCUGGCUGACAUUAAUGUAAUGUUCAGGAAACUUAAAUGUGAUUAAAACAGUAACGUUAAUGUUCUAGUUGUCAGUAAUCAGCUUUAAUUUGACACUAAAACAGACUGAUAGUUUUAAAUGACAUCAGUUUCAUUAGUUUGUUGAAAAUUGUCUCAUUUGUUGUGAUGUUGCUGCUGAUUCAUUAAAAGCAGAUGAUCCGUGUUGAAGGUACGUUUAGUUCUAGUAUCAGAAGUACAAGAAGGAAAAUGGAAGUUUAGUUCUGCUACAUCAAAGAUUUCAGGAUUAAAAUAACUAAAUGAGUCUUUAUGCCUCAAACUUUAUUUUUACAAUAAAGAAAUAAUGAAAUAAUCACAGAUAACAAAAAUAUAAAUAGCAGCGAAAACCUGAGAGAAUAAUUUCCUGAAAAGUCUGUGAAGGAAAAGCAGCUUUUUAUCCUGAAAGAUCAGAAUCAGCUCCAACAUCUGCAUCUGACAGCAUCAAGUCAACCAGAAAGAAAAGAAAAAAGAAAAUGACUUCUUUCUGAUCACAUCUGUUCCACUGCUCACAGUCUGCUGCUGCUCACAUUCUUCACAUUUAUAGUCCACUUUUAAAAGUUCAGCAGACAGGUGCUCUGCUUUGGAGUGUGAUGAUGUCAUUGGUGAUGUGGAGAGUGAAGUUUCCGUUUCACCCACAGCGUGCUGUAGGUCAGCCGGGUCGGACUUGAUGUUUGAAAGACUGACCAACAGCUCAGAUUUAACUGUCUAUAGUUCCAUUUUGAUGGGUGUUAAACUUUCACUCAAAGCCGCCAGGAGCUGGGUCUUUAAAAUAACGGCCGUCUCGUUACAGAGUGAAAGUAGCAAUUCCUCCUUGAGGUCAGAGAUUGCAGCAUCUGAGGGCCUCUUCAAAAGAAGAUGUAGUUGAUGAAGGUGUUCUGGAGCAGGACCAGAAAGACCACGACCAAGCAGCCUUGAGAUCUUAGGCAGCAUCUCCCUCAGGUCCCUCUCUAUCUCCUCACACAUCCACCAACCACUGGAACACAUCUCCAAAGUUCUGCCGGGCCAGCUCAGCUUCCCCUCAGAAGAAGUGGCGCCACCUGCCAGAUGAAGGAGCCUUUUGAGAGGCAGCUGGCAUCGUGAUUGGACUGUACUUUGGUCUGUUCCAAUCCAGCUUCAGCUCCAGAGACGGCAGGCGGGACGAGUCAACGGAGGCCAGGUGGACGAAGGCAUGCAGCUGAGUACAAUCCAGAAAACAACAGAGGAGGAGUGCAGCGGUUCAGGGCCAGAACAAACAGAGUAGCAUCGUAUGUCUCUUAGAAAACAUCAUAGUAUAGCCUUUGGUAUGAAAAAACGCCAUCAUAUACAUCGUAUAUUGUACAAAUAACAAGUCAAAGGAAAGAGACAUACAUUGUAGAAUUGUAGUAAUUGUGGGCUGACUGAUUUACUGAUUAUCCGUAUUUUAUUUUUUACUGAUUUAUGGUAAUAAAUACAUUUAAAAAUGGUG